UACGGGGGGAGCAAGCGUUGUUCGGAUUUACUGGGCGUAAAGCGUGCGCAGGCGGUGAUGUAAGACAGUUGUGAAAUCCCCGGGCUUAACCUGGGAAUUGCAUCUGUGGCUGCAUCGCUAGAGUACGGUAGAGGGGGAUGGAAUUCCGCGUGUAGCAGUGAAAUGCGUAGAUAUGCGGAGGAACACCGAUGGCGAAGGCAAUCCCCUGGACCUGUACUGACGCUCAUGCACGAAAGC
rnacentral:rRNA from 1 species